AGUGAACGCUGGCGGUAGGCCUAACACAUGCAAGUCGAACGGCAGCACAGUAAGAGCUUGCUCUUACGGGUGGCGAGUGGCGGACGGGUGAGGAAUACAUCGGAAUCUACUUUUUCGUGGGGGAUAACGUAGGGAAACUUACGCUAAUACCGCAUACGACCUACGGGUGAAAGCAGGGGAUCUUCGGACCUUGCGCGAUUGAAUGAGCCGCUGUCGGAUUAGCUAGUUGGCGGGGUAAAGGCCCACCAAGGCGACGAUCCGUAGCUGGUCUGAGAGGAUGAUCAGCCACACUGGAACGGGGACACGGUCCAGGCUCCUACGGGAGGCAGCAGUGGGGAAUAUUGGACAAUGGGCGCAAGCCUGAUCCAGCCAUACCGCGUGGGUGAAGAAGGCCUUCGGGUUGUAAAGCCCUUUUGUUGGGAAAGAAAAGCAGCAGGUUAAUACCCCGCUGUUCUGACGGUACCCAAAGAAUAAGCACCGGCUAACUUCGUG
rnacentral:rRNA from 1 species